GGCAAAACAAAAGGGGUCCUUUCCACUCCUGCCCGCUUCCAGCUCCCUCCCUCCCCUCCAUCACUACUAGGUCCGGAGGGUCAGGUCUUGGAGGCGGAAUCCUGGAGUGCAAACCCUCUUCGGCUGAAGAAAGUUCUGCUAUUUUUAAGCGGGUGAAGCCUGCCCCGGUGUCAGGGGCGCCCCGAGCCCCUUCUGAGGCUGGAGGCCAACGUGGACGGAGCUGCAGGGCAGCCUCCAGAAUCCAAGGCUGAGAUCCGACUGGAGAGGAUGCUGGGGUGCAGCCGCUGAAUGCCACAACGGGGGGCCAGCAGAGUGCUCCCCCCACCCCCACCCCUAUGGGUGCUCCGGGUUCAGGCGGACCGGCAGUUCUCCAGCUGGGCUAGGAGCAAAGCCUGCUAGGGCAGCGGCCACAGCCCAGCUGAGAGCAUGCCUUGCAUCCCACCCCCUUCUCUCACCUUGGGGGAGGGGGGCUUUCUCCUUGGGGACGCAGAGGGGCCUUGCCCUGCACACAGCCACCUGCACCUGGAGACCUGGGGAGCAAGGGUAAAGAGGCCGCUGGACAUCAUCCAAACUCUCGGAGAAGAACGUCCUUGCCUUCCUGCUUCGGCUCACUAAGUCACAUAUGCGUCUCUUCAGCUCCCUGGUUAAGGAUGGAAGUGCCUGGAUAGAGACUGACAUUGUGCACUUUGCGGCACCAUCAGAGUCACUUUUAUUUCUACUGAAGGAGGAGGAUGAAUUUUGAGUUGUUCAUCUUAAAUCUUCAAGACAAACUGGGCUGUUACAAGAUUUGAAUACAAACAGAGCUCCUUUAAGAACAGCUGAAUAAGCCUACUGUUGGGUGUUUUAUAUUUACUGAUACACAUCUUUAGGCAUCGUGAAUCUGAAAUAACUACCAGAGGCUCCUUAAUGUCCAUGAAAAGGAGAGUAAAAUAUUACUUCUACUGGUAUUAUUUUGAUAUGGGGGGGGGGGGGAGUCCUCUCUUUCUAAAAGAAAAAAAAAGCCCAGCUGUUUCUUGUACAGAGGAACUGAGAAAUAAUAUUAGCUUUGAAAUUUAUUUUUUCCUUUAAUCUAAAAUCUUACUAGGAAGACAGAUACAAGUUUUUCAACAUUCUUUUUUUUAAGAUUGUAUUUAUUUAUUUGAGGGAGAGAGAGAGAGAGCAUAAGUGGGGUUA